rnacentral:lncRNA from 1 species
GGGCAGCUGUGGAUGGGCCAGUGCCAGCAGUGGUGACAGUUCUGUGGGGCUGCCGUACAUGCAACCCCUGGCUCUUAUUAUCAAACAGGUCUGGCUCUGUUGUUCUAAAUCAUUUCUCGAUGAGCUACAGACAACUGCGUUCACAUACCUCUGCUUAAACUUUUUAUAUAUCACUUACAAAUGAGUUUAGAGGUAUUUUAGCACAGAAUUUAUUAUUGCCUGAGCAUCUGGCUCCAAGAAACUACAGACUAUAGCAUAACAGGAGAGACGAGCAGUUCUUAUCAGCCCGUCUUAUACAGUGCCAGUGCUGACGUCAAGAUUAUUCUGGCCUCAGGGGCACAGGGAGGUAAGGGAUUUCAAAAUGGAGCUACACAAAUGAAGAUAAAAGCCACAUAAAGCUUUGCUAUCUCUUUCUGGCUUUGCUCCUCCUUACUUCCACCCAGCUGAAAUGUAUGAUUGCAGUGGAAAAAGCACGGGAGCAAAAAGAAGGGGAGCUGUGGCCAGACUGCAUCAGGGACGGUCACCAGUACGUCUUGCCCCAGUAUGCUUCGAAUGGGCGCAGUCUGGAAGAGUGCUUGUGGGCCAGCAGGAAGGCAGAGAAUGCUAAUGGAGAGUUGAAAAAACAUGAGGAGGAAGGCAGCAGAAGGCGCUGUGCUAGAGAUGCUAGAGAUGUGUCUAGCUCCUGUGACAUACUCGCUUCUGCAUGUGUGGAGCCUCAACAUCACAUCUGGAAUUUGGUAUGGAGACAUCCAGAAUUUGAGAUGGACACGGGGUCAUCUGAGUGCUUUUACUGCAUCGACUAA